rnacentral:rRNA from 1 species
GAUGAACGCUGGCGGCGUGCCUAAUACAUGCAAGUCGAGCGAACAGAUGAGGAGCUUGCUCCUCUGACGUUAGCGGCGGACGGGUGAGUAACACGUGGAUAACCUACCUAUAAGACUGGGAUAACUUCGGGAAACCGGAGCUAAUACCGGAUAAUAUAUUUAACCGCAUGGUUCAAUAGUGAAAGACGGUUUUGCUGUCACUUAUAGAUGGAUCCGCGCCGCAUUAGCUAGUUGGUAAGGUAACGGCUUACCAAGGCAACGAUGCGUAGCCGACCUGAGAGGGUGGUCGGCCACACUGGAACUGAGACACGGUCCAGACUCCUACGGGAGGCAGCAGUAGGGAAUCUUCCGCAAUGGGCGAAAGCUUGACGGAGCAACGCCGCGUGAGUGAUGAAGGUCUUCGGAUCGUAAAACUCUGUUAUUAGGGAAGAACAAAUGUGUAAGUAACUAUGCACGUCUUGACGGUACCUAAUCAGAAAGCCACGGCUAACUACGUG